CUCUCCUCGUCCAGAUUUCCACUCAGUGUCCGCCCUGACCUAUGAAACUGAAGGCCGGCGUUCCCGCCUGUGGCUGGGCCUCCUGCACCUUACACCUGAUGUGAGGUGACUGGCCCCUCACUCCCCACCCACCUGGGGGCGGACUGCACCACUGUUGCAUUCACAGGGGCAGGGAGGGCAGUAGCUGCCCCCAGUGCCAGGGUCUGAGCGUUUGUGCCCCUCCCCCACCUGAUUCAUGUGGGACUUUGGGAUGAUUAGUUCAUGAAGGUGAAAGCCUUAUCAGUGGGAUUAGAGACCUUUUAAAAGAGACCCCGAGAGCGCCCGCACCCCCUCACCCUGAUGACACAGUGGGGAGCGCCUCUAUGAACCAGGAAGCCAGUCCUCACCAGACACCUAGUCUGCCAGCACCGUGACCUCUGGAUGACGCCCAGGCUGUACCUGUGAGGAGUGGAGGUCCGUCCAGGGCCCGUCGGGUGGAUCCGCAGCAGCCGGUGCUCUGAGACCCAGGCCGCCGGCCAAUGACAGCAGGGCCGGCGACCCGUAUCUAGGAGCCAAGGUGAGCUGCGAGGCGGAGCUUCAGGUGCUGACUGUGCCAAGCACCCCACUGCUCUCCCCAACGCGCCUGCUGGGGCGCUCAUAGCCUCACUCAGCCGGGCACACGCCCGCCGCCUCCUGCACACCGGAGCCCCACGCCAGGAGGGGCCAGGGCACGCACAGUGUUGAGGGCCGGACGGAUGGGCCUACAGACGGACCAGGAGCCCAGCGGCCCUGCUGUGGCCAGGUCCCAGGCGGCUACCUGCCCCGGCAGGUGACUCCAGAGGUGCUCGCACUGCCAGUCUCUCUCCGAAGGCCCCGAAAUGAACUAGGAGGUGCCUUGGCCGCUGGUUUUUCUCAUCAGCCAGGGGAGACCUCAGGGAAGUGGGGGUGACCGCAGACCCAGUGCUAGGCCUCCAUGCCCUCAGGCGUAGUCACCCGCUCGCACGCUGAAGCCGCACUGGGAGGUCUGCACUGCAAAUUCACGUGGCAAAGCACAUGGACGUCCCGGGAAAAGGCUCCUGUCUCCAACGGAAAUGCCUCACUACGUCCGAGAACAGACUGGCUGCGCUGCCCCAGGCAGGGGAGGCCACCUGGUCCUCAGAGGAAAAGAAGCUGGUGGUGAAAGUGAAAGCGGCAGGAGAGAUAUCUAACAAUGACUUAGCAGCCUUCUCUACUAGUACAAAAUGAGAGGAUGGAUACAGAUGAUGCUGGAGAAAGUACUGAGCACGGAAUAUUAAAUUAUCCCAGGGUGGGCGCUGGCCCGUGAGUAAUGCCCCCUCCCCAGCCCGGGCGCCGGCCUGCGAGGCCAGGCUGUGGGGCUGAGGAGGCAGGAGCUGCCGGACACCUGCUGACACGGUGGCCUCCCCGUUUGCAAGCGCUCAGAGGCGCCUGGAACGUGCGUGCAGAGGCAGCUGCAGGCCGCCUCCGCUCCUCUGCAGAGCCACUUCAUCUCGCACGCCGCCGUGGACAGUCAUCAGUAAUGAAGCCAUUAAUGCAGGAGGGUGGAGAGAGAACUGCCUGCCAGCCUUCUCCAUUAAACGCAGGUACUUCGCACAUCUCUAAUUAAGAUCGAGGCUUGAGUUCCAAUUGACAAAGCACUCCAUCCCCACGAUACGCAGCCACGGGUGCUGGAGGGCAGAGCUAAUGCAGUGAGUGGGUAAUGGCGUGGAUAAUUCCAAUAAAGAUUUCCAAUUACA